GAGAUGUUAACUUAAGUUUAAAGUAUUAGAUUUUUAAUCUAAAGAUGAGGGGCUCACAUCUUA
rnacentral:tRNA from 2 species